UGGUGGAGCCUCGGAGGUGCGGUCCUCCCUCGCAGACCACUCCCACAGCGCGUCACAGACACCCAGAGCCCCCGCCGCCAGAUCCCGUUAUGCGGUCCAUUCACUGCGGGUCCAGCUCCGAGGGGCCACGAGUACAGCAGCAGACUCUGGGGGGCCACGGAGGGCCAGAUCACCAGACUGUUGGCCUCGUAGAGCGGGUUGGUCAGACGCUCCAGUUCUUGGGGCCGAUUCACCCACGACCACAGGGAUACAGUCUUCUCAGGCAGAGAGAGUCUAGUUCUUUGGAAAGAAUAGAGGUUGCCUAUAGCUUAAGAAUGUGAAGGAAAGUCAAAUUGUUUGCACAAUGCUAAAUGCACCAAUGUUAAACAAAAUCAUUAAGCAGAUGGCUAACAUAAGCUGGUAGGCCAACCUCCACAAACUUACCUCUCAGAUGUACUGUUGCCCAAGAAGGUGCCGAACUGAGAAGCAUAAGCAUGUUCGAAGAGCAGCACCAGGAAGCUCUCGCUGAAUUCAAAGGAGCACGGAAAUUGGCGAAGGAUCUGCCACACACAGUCCAAGAAGAGUAGGAAGACAGGAGACUCUUGGCGAGGCUUGCUGUUGGAGUAGGCCGACUGGGCGCAGCGUUGCCGGAACGGGUGACCCGCCUGGGAUAGAAGAUCACAGAUGUGAGAGGGGUCGUGAGGAGAAAUGCAAAGAAUACAUCCAUUAUGACACUAAAAUGCUUGCUGGACAGAAUUAGUAUUCCUUGAUGGAAAAGUUUAUGAACUUCAGGUUAUGUGAGGUCAUAUAUGUCUCUUUAACGUAAUUUGUGCUUUAAAUUUAAAUACCAAACUAUAAUUAAAAACAAAAUGUGGAGCUUUUAAAACAA